rnacentral:rRNA from 1 species
GACAGAGGGUGCAAACGUUGUUCGGAAUUACUGGGCGUAAAGCGCACGCAGGCGGUCUUUUAAGUUUGACGUGAAAGCUCCCGGCUUAACUGGGAGAGGUCGUUGAAUACUGGAAGACUUGAGGCAAUGAGAGGGGUGUAGAAUUCCCGGUGUAGUGGUGGAAUGCGUAGAUAUCGGGGGGAAUACCAGUGGCGAAAGCGGCACCCUAGCGUUAGCCUGACGCUCAUGUGCGAAAGCGUGGGGAGCGAACGGG